UUUAGUUUUGAUAGUAUUAUCAGAUUUUAAACUACAGAAUUCAGCUUAUUCAGUUUAAAGAAUAAAUAUUUUAGUUUAUAUGUCUGUGAAAAGAAAUUUUAUGCUAUAUGUCGGUUUUCAGAAGAUUUUAUGAAGGGAAAAUUAUAUUUUUACAAAUAUCCACUCACUGAGUUAUAGGCUCACAUUUUUAUCACUAUUUCUCUUAUCAGAUAGUAGCUGAGUUGAGCACUACUGGGCCAGUUGAUCUAUCAAGUUGAGCCAUAGAUUGUGAAGCAUUGUAUGAAUCAUCUUUUCAGUUUAAUAGUUCAUAUUUUGGGAUAGACACCUCUUUUGGUCAGAAAUUAGUUCCAUGUGUUGGGCUUGCUAUGUUUUGUCUAUAUAUUAUGAAUUUUGGGUACUGUGGUUUAGAAAUUGUUGCAAAAGUCGAAUUGCCAGUGUUGUAUUUGAAUAGUUGAUAUUUUGAGGGGACGGUGUAUCCUGUUUU
rnacentral:lncRNA from 1 species